UAAAGAAAUACCUUGUGUCCUAUUGUACACUCUAUAUACUGUUACUAAAUAAAAUGUGUGGUAUUACAAAACAUCUAUAAAAAUGGAAACAAAGAUACAAAUAUAUUCUCUCUCCCCAAAUUAUGUUGUAAAAAGUAGGGGUUCUAGAAAGAGAAGUGUUCUGUGAUCACAAAAGUUAAAGAAACAUUAAGCUGUAUUUCAUGGUCUCUUCCUCCUAGAGACAUGUAAUUAAUAUUCAGGUAUCUGAGUGAUCCUACAAUAAGGAAAAUUAUUUAACUGUUUAUGGUUUCUUUCUCUUCCUCCUCCCUUCCCCUCUCUAAAUAUCUAAAUACGAUCUAGAGUUCCAGAGAGCAUGGUUGAGAGCACGAUGAGCUCAGGAAUUUGGGAGACCCCUUUCCUAGAUCACUAAUAUUUUUGUCUGUUUCCUCAGCAUCGGUUCCCUGUAACAGCGACCACUAGAGAGCUCUUCCCCAAGGCAGGAAAUCUCACCUGAUCACUUCAUUGUUCUGAGAAUGCACCCCCACAGCUGUCAUUCCUGCCCAUCAGCAUAUCAGAAAGAAAGGACCAGAAAGUGCUUGGAUACACAUUUAAACACUGCACUUGAGUUUCUGGUUCUGUCCAGAAACGGGACCCCAAGAAGGCCAAGUAAAGGAGAAGUGAGUGGCAACUCCGACUUCAGCAGAAGCCCCAAAGGCAGCCCAUCAUUCUUUCCAGGGCUUCUGGGAGGAAGUAGUAUCAUCAUCAUCAUCACCAUCCUGUUUUAUGGAGGAGGAAACUGA
rnacentral:lncRNA from 1 species